CCUACGGGAGGCAGCAGUGAGGAAUAUUGGUCAAUGGGCGAGAGCCUGAACCAGCCAAGUCGCGUGAGGGAGUACUGCCCUAUGGGUUGUAAACCUCUUUUGUCGGGGAGCAAAAGCCGGACGUGUCCGGCUGUGAGAGUACCCGAAGAAAAAGCAUCGGCUAACUCCGUGCCAGCAGCCGCGGUAAUACGGAGGAUGCGAGCGUUAUCCGGAUGUAUUGGGUUUAAAGGGUGCGCAGGCGGAUUUUUAAGUCAGCGGUAAAAUCGUGGGGCUCAACCCCAUCCAGCCGUUGAAACUGGGGAUCUAGAGUGUGCGAGAGGUAUGCGGAAUGCGUGGUGUAGCGGUGAAAUGCAUAGAUAUCACGCAGAACCCCGAUUGCGAAGGCAGCAUACCGGUGCACAACUGACGCUCAGGCACGAAAGCGUGGGUAUCGAACAGGAUUAGAUACCCCAGUAGUC
rnacentral:rRNA from 1 species